CGAAAAUUCUAAACCCUAGCCGCUUCAGCAUUGAGUCCCAACAUCGGCGUAUGUCGCCGACCCUAAGCGGAAUAAUCCUCUCCACAACGCAUAGCUUGUGCGCAGCCUUCCAACGUCAACCAUUUUUUACCAAUACCCGAUCAGAUCUGCAACAUUCCGGGUUGCGAAUGGUCUUGCACCUCACAGAGAACAUCUCUUCCCGCAGGGAGUUCAUGAAGGAGAAUGACUAGCGGGCGGUUGUGAGCUGGAAAAUCCGACCAGCGAGGGGCCGCCUCAAGGUCCUGUGUGGAUGUGGUGAUCCUGAUGACUCACUGGCUAUUCCGACCGUCGCUAGGUGGAGAUUGAGGCUUGGGUCGCAGAGGACGACCGUCUUUGGUUGGUUUGUAAUGCAGGAAUGGCUUAGGCCGGAUGUCCAAUGCAAAGUGCAGUAGGAUAUUCGAUCGAAGAAAGCGGCAGCGAUACUCGAACCUCCGUUCUGAGAGGAUUACAGAGAUAAUUGUCGUGCACCGUUCUGUAAGUGCGACGAUGGAGUCGAGUUCGGCGGUGGGGAAAAUUGGUCACGCCGAAGAGGCAAUCUGGUUUGAGGACUUGGCUGCGAGAAGUUCUGCAGUCAGGGUACGAUGGACAACAGCAAUGUCAGCCGUGAUGGGCAAAGAGGCAGUGGGG
rnacentral:lncRNA from 1 species